rnacentral:rRNA from 1 species
AUUGAACGCUGGCGGCAGGCCUAACACAUGCAAGUCGAGCGAGCGGCGGACGGGUGAGUAAUGCCUGGGAAUUGCCCAGUCGAGGGGGAUAAAAGUUGGAAACGAUGGUUAAUACCGAAUAGGAUUGGAAUCCCCAGGUGGGAUUAGCUAGUUGGUGAGGUAAUGGCCCACCAAGGCGAGGAUCCCUAGCUGGGCUGAGAGGAUGAUCAGCCACACUGGAACUGAGACACGGUCCAGACUCCUACGGGAGGCAGCAGUGGAGAAUAUUGCAGAAUGGGGGAAACCCUGAUGCAGCCAUGCCGCGUGUGUGAAGAAGGCCUUCGGGUUGUAAAGCACGUUCAGCGAGGAGGCGUUACUCGCAGAAGAAGCACCGGAUAACUCCGUGCCAGCCGCCGCGGUAAUAC